UACAGAGGUCCCGAGCGUUGUUCGGAUUCAUUGGGCGUAAAGGGUGCGUAGGCGGCGGGGCAAGUCUGAUGUGAAAUCCCGGGGCUCAACCCCGGAACUGCAUUGGAUACUGCCCUGCUCGAGUACUGGAGAGGGAACUGGAAUUUACGGUGUAGCAGUGAAAUGCGUAGAGAUCGUAAGGAAGGCCAGUGGCGAAGGCGAGUUCCUGGACAGUUACUGACGCUGAGGCACGAAGGCCAGGGGAGCAAACGGG
rnacentral:rRNA from 1 species